UUGGAGGGCAAGUCUGGUGCCAGCAGCCGCGGUAAUUCCAGCUCCAAUAGCGUAUAUUAAAGUUGUUGCAGUUAAAAAGCUCGUAGUUGAAUUUCGGGAACAAUUUAUUGGUCGUGCCAACGGUACGCACUGGUACAAUUGGUUUCUCCCUUCUGACGAAGCAUGAUGUCAUUAAUUUGAUGUCGUGGGGAAUCAGGACUGUUACUUUGAAAAAAUUAGAGUGUUUAAAGCAGGCUUUGGCUUGAAUACAUUAGCAUGGAAUAAUGAAGUAGGACGUUUGAUCUUAUUUCGUUGGUUUCUAAGAUCGACGUAAUGAUUAAUAGGGAUAGUUGGGGGCAUUAGUAUUCAAUUGUCAGAGGUGAAAUUCUUGGAUUUAUUGAAGACUAACUACUGCGAAAGCAUUUGCCAAGGAUGUUUUCAUUAAUCAAGAACGAAAGUUAGGGGAUCGAAGACGAUCAGAUACCGUCGUAGUCUUAACCAUAAACUAUGCCGACUAGGGAUCGGAUGAUGUUAAUUUUUUAAUGACUCAUUCGGCGCCUUACGGGAAAC
rnacentral:rRNA from 1 species